rnacentral:sRNA from 1 species
UCGAUUUGUUGAGGACAAAUAAAGUGAAUAUGUGCAUCCACACCGCCAGCUGUCAGGAUUUUUCCCUCCCCAGCGAUAAUCUCAGUCGAAGGGCCGAUAAUGAUAUCAACACCGCUCUGAAUAUCGGGAUUUCCGGCUUUGCCAAUUCGGAAAAUUUUUCCAUCUCUAAGCGCAACGUCGGCUUUAACAAUGCCCCAAUGGUCCAAAAUAAGCGCAUUGGUAAUCACCGUAUCAGCGGCCCCGCCAGCACGGGUAACUUGCGACUGCCCCAUACCGUCAC